CAAUAGCGUAUAUUAGCGUUGUUGCAGUUAAAAAGCUCGUAGUUGGAUUUCUGACAGGAGUGACCGGUCCGAGUCGCAAGACUCGUGUACUUUUGUGUCUUACUCUAGUCAUCCUUAUGGAGAUUGUGUUUCGGCAUUGAGUUGUCGGGCAUAGGACCCAUAUCGUUUACUGUGAAAAAAUUAGAGUGUUUAAAGCAGGCAAUUGCUGUGAAUACAUUAGCAUGGAAUAAUAAGAUAGGACUUUGGUGCUAUUUUGUUGGUUUGCCACCAAGGUAAUGAUUAAGAGGGACAGUUGGGGGUAUUCGUAUUUAAUUGUCAGAGGUGAAAUUCUUGGAUUUAUGAAAGACGAACUACUGCGAAAGCAUUUACCAAGGAUGUUUNCAUUA
rnacentral:rRNA from 1 species